UAUUUUACCACAGUAAGCUGCUUUUGCAACUUAUUUUACCCAUUCCAUGACGUUUCUUCCUUUGUCUCUAGUUGAAAUGGAAAUUGUUGCUGAUAAGUCUGAACGCGUCAACUGUCCAUUUGAUCCUGUUCAUGUCAUUGAGAGACGGAGAUUGCAGGCACAUAUAAUAAAGUGCAAACGUAAUCUCCCUGCAAAUCAUGACUUUGUUCAAUGCCAAUUUUGGACCUUACAUUAUGUGAAGAAACGUGAUCUGGAAGCACAUUAUUUAACAUGUGAGCAUGCCUUAAUGAAACAGGCAACAAAGAGGAUGGCAUCUGCUGAACCAUCUAGAUUUAGGGAGCCUAAACUAAUUUACAAUGAUACCACAACAACACAGUCUUCAUUUACAGACGAGUCAUGGGAUAUCCCAUCUGACCAACCUACUUUUACACCAGAAGCAUUGAGAGCACAAGCAACACACAUGACAAUACCUCUUGGGUUAACAAAGUCAAAGCGAAGAGAGUAUAGAGAACAGGAACGUAAAAGACUUCGAGAACAAGAAGCUGCUGAGCUGCUCGUAAAACCUGAAAAAACUUCGGCGCUGGGAACUUCAGCAAUUAUAUCAGAGCCAAAUGAAAACCCAAGGAGACCAGAGAUGCCAGCAAACCGCCCUAUAAAUGCGUCGUUUGUCCCGUCAACUGGAUCAAGUUAUCCUGAAAGUUCUACCGGAUCAUCUGCACCCACUAAUUAUGCUGAUGCUGGUCUCCCCCAAUACGGGCUGUCCCGUCAAGGCAUGCCACCAGCUCACGGGAUGCCUUCUUCCCAUAGAAUGCCUUCUCACGGGCAGAUGCCUAGCAGGGGAAGGGGAUAUUUACUUUCUCAAUCAACGUGGACUGACAACGCCCGACAGACAUACCAUCCCUAUCCCUAUAAUGGAAUUCCGUACCGUUAUUCGCCAGAUGAUUUUCCUGGCUUGUGAAACUACGAAGUUGUUCUAGUUUCAAGAAAUCUCUCAUUUCCCGGCAGCUUUGCAGCUAAAGAUUGCCCUGGUUUCGACGACUUGAAAAAGGAAACGAUGCAACUGACAUCGCCAACGGCUUGAUUACGAUAGCAGGCAUGAAUCCAAAACGCUAUCUCGCCCCAAACAAAAAAAAAACACGUAAACAGGUAGGGACGG